CGCGCGCGGAGGCCCUGCGGGGCCCGGGCUCCGGAGGAAGGGCGGGCUCGGCGGCGCCCCCCUGGCGACAGAGCGAGGAAGGGCGGCGGGGGCCGGCGCCGCGCAGAGGACGCCGCUGCGUCCCGGGGCUCACCGCGGGCGGGAGUUUGAGGACUGAAGCGGAGAAAUGCGGUCCCGGUUCGAGACGCUGUGCCACGCGGAACCUGAAUGUGCGUGUCUUCGCGGCUUCAGCUCCGAGGACGGCCGGGGGAACCACCGCGUCCCCUCCGGACCUUCCGCGCGAGCUUCUGCCGUCGCGCGCGGGCGCCCGCUGUGGAUUUUUCUGGCUGGCCUUGGCCACUCGGGGCUCCCAGCCGCGGGCAAAGCUGAGGUGCGACCUGGACGGAACAAGGGUCCCGGAGCCGUGAGCGCCGAGGGGGAAGGCCGGAGGAGAGCGGCCCCGGCCGGAGCGCGCGCUGUAGCCAGCUUUCCGCCGGGCGAGGCCGCUGCGGAAGGAACCUGCAAAUACGGCCGCGCCUUCGGUUCAGCGGGCUGCCUGGAACCCAGGACCGAGUGUAAAGGAAAUCGAAGGCUAAGCUCAUCACGUAUAUUUUUAGAACCUCCCUUCUUCCAGGAAUCUCUCCUCUCCACCUCCUCCACCAGUAGAUGUACGCCGGAAAACGCUUCACCUCCAGCCCAGCAGCGAGAAGAGAAGACCAGAAGUGUGGGGGUCCGGGAUAUCCGCUUUCGGGCCUCGCCCCCAGCGACCUCACUUCCGCCCAGCAGGCCCCUCCCCUCGAAGACUCCCCCACCUCCACUUGAGCCGCAGGCUGCGGACCGAGCCCCUAGCACGUCGGCCGGGUAGGGGGGAUAUUGAGGAGGCCACCCUGACGGCAGCCGCCCCAAACGCUGUCUUUCUGGCCUCAGGGUGACCUUGAGCGGUCCUGUUGCGGUACGCAGGCCGGGAGAGGCCCGAGGACGUGUGGCAGGGUACCAGGGUCCCCUCGCCCAGGCCUGGUGACGACUCCCACGUCCAGGUGGCGUGGCCACCACCUCCCAGAGCGGACCCUGGGAAGAGACCCGGCUAAGGCGUAAACGGGCACGGUGUCAACGUAUUCCCUGUAGCUGGGCGCUCCCCUCCUACCCACGGUUGGAUGACCACGGGGCCCGCGAAACCCCCGCUCUGCGGGUGGACCCCAAGUGAGCAGCACAGGUCGACAUCCGCUGACGGCGCACACGGUGCCUGCGUCACACCACCACGAGCCUUAUCAAUAUUCCCAUUUCACGGAGGCAGAAACCGAGACCUAAAAAGGUUAGUUUCUCGUCCAAAGCUGCAUAACAACAGGUAAAUCUGGAAACUAAGCUAAAAUAUAUUAUUUUUGAGCUGAUCGAACUCGAGACCUUUCCCUUGGGAGGCAGGCGGUGGAACC
rnacentral:lncRNA from 1 species